ACUUGAGAAAAGCACAGCUUCCAAUCCCCACCCACUAGCUUCAGUCAAAGGGAUGACUUCAGUCCCUUUCUUAACUAAUCCUGUCACUGUAAAAUCCUACAGUCAUUCUUCCAGCAUAAAGGGAAAACGGACUCACUAGGAGGACCUAGACUCUUUCAGCUUGAACUGUUAACCAAUGGUGGAAAUGCAAGAAUGCUGAAGUUGUGCCUUCAGAGCCAAUAGAGUGGAUUUGUGUGUCCCACAUGACUGUGUUUCCCCUGUCUUUCACAUGGGCAGUAUUUAGUUCAAUUCAGAACUGCAGAUAGUAUAGCGUGCAGAGCAGCAAUGGGAUGUCUGAGCACAAGUAGCUGACUUCCAGGCGACUUCAGGAAGCACAUUUGUACAUUUCUCCUGAAUUAUCUGGGAUUCUGCACCUUUGACAUUCUCCAAUGCUCCUUGCCGCUGCAAAAGGAGACAGCGACCUGCACAGCACAACAAAACUACAAACCACCACAGAGCUGCAGACCAGCAAUGAAGAGAGCUGAGGGCAAUUUGACCAACAUCAUCUAUGUCAGUUCCCCAGAAGUCGAUGAAACACGUAGUCGAGUCUCCAAGACCACAAGCCUCAGAAGAUCACUGUGGAACAAAGACCCUGGGCCAACCCAUCCUGUUGAUAUGACACAAAGUACAGCCCAGUUUGGUAUUCUUUCCACUCUGAAGGAGUCUCACAUCAGCACAGCAACCAUAUCUUCAAUUUGGGUCAGGCCAUCAAGAGGAAAAGGACGGAAGACUGAAGAUGAGAUGCUCUACUUCACACAGUUGCCCUCUGGAAGGACUUGCAAAGGCAGUCACUUAAAUUAA
rnacentral:lncRNA from 12 species